rnacentral:rRNA from 1 species
GAUGAACGCUGGCGGCGCGCCUAACACAUGCAAGUCGAACGAUUAAAGCACCUUCGGGUGUGUAUAAAGUGGCGAACGGCUGAGUAACACGUGGGCAACCUGCCCCUUUCAUUGGGAUAGCCACGGGAAACCGUGGAUAAUACCGAAUACUUCGAGACUUCCGCAUGGAAGACUCGAGAAAGCUCCGGCGGAGAGGGAUGGGCCCGCGGCCUGUUAGCUUGUUGGUGGGGUAACGGCCUACCAAGGCAAUGAUAGGUAGCUGGGUUGAGAGACCGACCAGCCAGAUUGGGACUGAGACACGGCCCAGACUCCUACGGGAGGCAGCAGUGGGGAAUCUUGCACAAUGGGCGAAAGCCUGAUGCAGCGACGCCGCGUGCGGGAUGAAGGCCUUCGGGUUGUAAACCGCUUUCAGCAGGGACGAGGCGAAAGUGACGGUACCUGCAGAAGAAGCCCCGGCUAACUACGU